rnacentral:tRNA from 1 species
GAGACCUUAAUUUAAUAGGAAAAAUAUGUGACUUUUAAUCAUUAGUACGUAGGUUCGAGUCCUGCAGGUCUUA